rnacentral:rRNA from 1 species
GUGUCAGCAGCCGCGGUAAUACGGAGGGUGCAAGCGUUGUUCGGAAUUAUUGGGCGUAAAGAGCGUGUAGGCGGCCUUGUAAGUCAGAUGUGAAAUCCCUUGGCUUAACCAAGGAAGGGCAUUUGAAACUGCUUGGCUUGAGUACGGGAGGGGGAAGUGGAAUUCCCGGUGUAGAGGUGAAAUUCGUAGAUAUCGGGAGGAACACCAGUGGCGAAGGCGGCUUCCUGGACCGAUACUGACGCUGAGACGCGAAAGCGUGGGGAGCAAACAGGAUUAGAUACCCUGGUAGUCCACGCCGUAAACGUUGGGCACUAGGUGUUGUGGGUAUUGACCCCCGCAGUGCCGAAGCUAACGCAUUAAGUGCCCCGCCUGGGGAGUACGGUCGCAAGGCUAAAACUUAAAUGAAUUGACGGGG